rnacentral:rRNA from 1 species
CUUCUCUUCAACGCAUUAUGUCAAUUCUUGAUGAAAUGCAGAGAAGUGUUUGGAUCACGCGUUCAGUCUGGUCGCGAGAUAGCUAUAUAUCAUAGCACGCUUGUCGGUUUGCACCAUGGCAAAUUGUCAUCAUUAGAAGGCCUGAUGUGUGUGAGAUUACCCGCUGAAUUUAAGCACAUAAGUAAGCGGAGGAAAAGAAACUAACUAGGAUUCCCUUAGUAAUGGCGAAUGAACAGGGAUCAGCUCAGUGCCAAAUCAGAAUCACUUGUGGUUCUGAAAUGUGGCUUGAAGGCAGUACCAGUGGCAACGCGGACGAAAGUCUCUUGGAAAAGAGCGUCAUAGAGGGUGAGAAUCCCGUGAGUCGUUUGCAGUUUGCCACGUACGGUCUGUGUUCUAACGAGUCGCGUUCCUUGGGAUUGGAGCGUAAACGGGUGGUAAAUUUCAUCCAAAGCAAAAUAUAUACUCGAGACCGAUAGCACAAAAGUACCGUGAGGGAAAGGUGAAAAGAACUUUGAGAAGAGGGUUAAAUAGUGCCUGAAAUCGUUGAGAAGGAAGCGGAUGCCGCCGUUGCAUAUGCUGAUUGUAGGAUUGCUGCCUGCUUGUGUCUUCUGCUACUCAUUCACAGACCUGGUCGUGUUGAGCAGUUGUUUGGCACUUGUGAGUGGUGUUUCCUGCUUUCAGUCGUCAGCAUCACUGGCUGAGUGGAAAUAAUCCUUGGAUGCUAAUUGGUUUGCUAUCGCAAAUUGGUUGCUUCCUUGCGAUACUCGCUACUCGGUCAGUGAGGAAGUGCGUUUGCUGGUCAACGAGCUGUCUAACUGUCAUUACCCUGCGCUUUUCGAUUCGUCGAGUGGCCAGGAUGUGGCUUUGAGAUUGCCCGCACUUAGUAAUCGCGAUGCUGGCUUCCAACGGUUGCCUCCGGCCCGUCUUGAAACACGGACCAAGGAGUCUAACGUAUGUGCGAGUGUGUGAGUGGCAAACUUAUACGCGUAAUGAAAGUGAGGCCUUAUGGCCUUGUUGGGGUCACCAACAACCGACCUUGAUCUUCGGUGAAAGGUUUGAGUAUGAGCAUAUCCGUUAGGACCCGAAAGAUGGUGAACUAUGCCUGAGCAGGGUGAAGCCAGGGGAAACUCUGGUGGAGGCUCGUAGCGAUA